GACGAAGGAUGCAAGCGUUAUCCGGAUUCAUUGGGUUUAAAGGGUGCGUAGGCGGCCAGAUAAGUCAGUGGUGAAAUCCUGUUGCUUAACAACAGAACUGCCAUUGAUACUGUUUGGCUUGAGUAUAGUUGCUGUGGGCGGAAUAUGACAUGUAGUGGUGAAAUACAUAGAGAUGUCAUAGAACACCGAUUGCGAAGGCAGCUCACAAA
rnacentral:rRNA from 1 species